GGCGUGCUAAUCUGCGAUAAGCGCCGGUAAGGUGAUAUGAACCGUUAUAACCGGCGAUACCCGAAUGGGGAAACCCAGUGUGAUUCGUCACACUAUCAUUAACUGAAUCCAUAGGUUAAUGAGGCGAACCGGGGGAACUGAAACAUCUAAGUACCCCGAGGAAAAGAAAUCAACCGAGAUUCCCCCAGUAGCGGCGAGCGAACGGGGAGGAGCCCAGAGCCUGAAUCAGCAUGUGUGUUAGUGGAAGCGUCUGGAAAGGCGCGCGAUACAGGGUGACAGCCCCGUACACAAAAGCGCAUGUGCUGUGAGCUCGAUGAGUAGGGCGGGACACGUGGUAUCCUGUCUGAAUAUGGGGGGACCAUCCUCCAAGGCUAAAUACUCCUGACUGACCGAUAGUGAACCAGUACCGUGAGGGAAAGGCGAAAAGAACCCCGGCGAGGGGAGUGAAAAAGAACCUGAAACCGUGU
rnacentral:rRNA from 1 species